rnacentral:rRNA from 1 species
GACGAACGCUGGCGGCGUGCCUAAUACAUGCAAGUAGAACGCUGAAGGAGGAGCUUGCUUCUCUGGAUGAGUUGCGAACGGGUGAGUAACGCGUAGGUAACCUGCCUGGUAGCGGGGGAUAACUAUUGGAAACGAUAGCUAAUACCGCAUAAGAGUAGAUGUUGCAUGACAUUUGCUUAAAAGGUGCAAUUGCAUCACUACCAGAUGGACCUGCGUUGUAUUAGCUAGUUGGUGGGGUAACGGCUUACCAAGGCGACGAUACAUAGCCGACCUGAGAGGGUGAUCGGCCACACUGGGACUGAGACACGGCCCAGACUCCUACGGGAGGCAGCAGUAGGGAAUCUUCGGCAAUGGACGGAAGUCUGACCGAGCAACGCCGCGUGAGUGAAGAAGGUUUUCGGAUCGUAAAGAUCUGUUGUAAGAGAAGAACGAGUGUGAGAGUGGAAAGUUCACACUGUGACGGUAUCUUACCAGAAAGGGACGGCUAACUACGUG